CCUACGGGAGGCAGCAGUGAGGAAUAUUGGUCAAUGGUCGAGAGCCUGAACCAGCCAAGUCGCGUGAAGGAUGAAGGAUCUCUGGUUUGUAAACUUCUUUUAUAGGGGAAUAAAGUUAGGCACGUGUUCCUUUUUGUAUGUACCCUAUGAAUCAGCAUCGGCUAACUCCGUGCCAGCAGCCGCGGUAAUACGGAGGAUGCGCGCGUUAUCCGGAUUUAUUGGGUUUAAAGGGUGAGUAGGUGGGUAAUUAAGUCAGCGGUGAAAGUUUGUGGCUCAACCAUAAAAUUGCCGUUGAAACUGGUUGACUUGAGUAUAUGUGAGGUAGGCGGAAUGCGUGGUGUAGCGGUGAAAUGCAUAGAUAUCACGCAGAACUCCGAGUGCGAAGGCAGCUUACUAAACUAUAACUGACACUGAAGCACGAAAGCGUGGGGAUCAAACAGGAUUAGAUACCCUGGUAGUC
rnacentral:rRNA from 1 species